rnacentral:rRNA from 1 species
GACGAACGCUGGCGGCGUGCUUAACACAUGCAAGUCGAACGAAGUGGCGAACGGGUGAGUAACGCGUAAUCAACCUGCCCUUCAGCGGGGGACAACAGUUGGAAACGACUGCUAAUACCCCAUACUGACGGAGGGGAUUGCGUCCGAUUACCUAGUUGGAGGGGUAACGGCCCACCAAGGCGAGGAUCCGUAGCCGGUCUGAGAGGAUGAUCCGCCACACUGGGACUGAGACACGGCCCAGACUCCUACGGGAGGAAGCAGUGGGGAAUUUUGGGCAAUGGGCGCAAGCCUGAUCCAGCCAUGCCGCGUGUCUGAAGAAGGCCUUCGGGUUGUAAAGGACUUUUGUCAGGGAAGCGGUACCUGAAGAGUAAGCACCGGCUAACUACGUGCCAGCAGCCGCGGUAAUAC